GGCUCCGUGGCGCAAUGGAUAGCGCAUUGGACUUCUAGAGGGUGAAGAGAUUCAAAGGUUCCGGGUUCGAGUCCCGGCGGAGUCG
rfam:Anolis carolinensis chromosome 4, whole genome shotgun sequence.